AGCAGCCGCGGUAAUUCCAGCUCCAAUAGCGUAUAUUAAAGUUGUUGCAGUUAAAAAGCUCGUAGUUGAAUUUCGGGAUCAAUUAAUUGGUCGUGCCUCUGGUACGUACUGAUUUUAUUGGUUUCUCCCUUCUGACGAACCAUGAUGUCAUUAAUUUGGUGUCGUGGAGAAUCAGGACUGUUACUUUGAAAAAAUUAGAGUGUUUAAAGCAAGCUAACGCUUGAAUACAUUAGCAUGGAAUAAUGAAAUAGGACGUUUGAUCCUAUUUUGUUGGUUUCUAGGAUCGACGUAAUGAUUAAUAGGGAUAGUUGGGGGCAUUAGUAUUCAAUUGUCAGAGGUGAAAUUCUUGGAUUUAUUGAAGACUAACUACUGCGAAAGCAUUUGCCAAGGAUGUUUUCAUUAAUCAAGAACGAAAGUUAGGGGAUCGAAGACGAUCAGAUACCGUCGUAGUCUUAACCAUAAACUAUGCCGACUAGGGAUCGGAUGAUGUUAAUUUUUUAAUGACUCAUUCGGCGCCUUACG
rnacentral:rRNA from 2 species